UGUGAUGCCCACCGUCCCCCGCAGAAUCAUUACGCAGAUAUUAACUAAUGUUUCUUGUACUCCACUGAUUCAUAAACUAAUGCAUCGGAACACGUUAGUAUCGCGUGCGGGCGGAUCUAUGUCUGGAUACUACAUAUUCAUCGUAUUUUAUAUUAACGUUUUUGAUAAUUAUUGAUGUAUUUUUUGACAUUUUUUUCAUAUUCAAGCAUUUCUUUAAUAAAAAUUUGUCGCACGGAACGAAUCAAAGUAUGAUAAAAAAACUCUUCUUAUUUAAAUGUAAUUUAUGAAGUUGAUUAUUUUCUUUGAAAGUAAUAACAGUUGUUAUUAAAGUAAUACAAGCAGUGAGUCGUCCGCUGCGUCGGUGAACACAAUCAAGGGAUCGAAAGGCACACUAAUCAUGAUUCAGACAUUGAUCAAUACCAUUAUAUACUAAAACAAACAUUCUAACAUUCUGUUUGACGUGUUGUGUAAGCCUGGUUGGAAUUUGAAUCUGACACACAGAUUAUAAUAUUAAUGUGGAGUUUGUCACUACAGCAUUAAAAUGUGAAUGCAAUUAAAAUUAACUAUAUUACAUAAGUGGGAAUAUUUUUAUUUUCACUAGCAUUGAAUUGUUUGAUGACACCAAAUAGGUUUUAUGACUAUGGGACGUAUUCUAGGGAUGUUAAUAUUGACGUGAAGCUAUAUAAUAUAAAUUAACAAAAGUAUGACGUGUAACAAUGAUUUAUCAGAAUAAUAUCACAGGUCUGCAGGUCUUAUGAAGGUAGAAAAUAACUGUAGUAAUACAUUGAACAUGAUGGAGUCGCUUCGGAACACUGCCAGCCUGCCGGGUACUGUUGGAUUCAGUACUUUGGUCACACCACAUACAGUGUCAAUACAACUUGGCAAAUGAUAUUAACACAUGUCACUGAGUGAGGAAAGCGAGCACUUUGUUUGUUUAAAUUCCCAUAUUUUCGGUAACAUGGACACUGGAGCAGUGUAGCAAUGGUUUCCAAGGACAAUAUUAUAAUCAAAAUUACAUUAAAUGUUCAACCUUUAUUAUAAAUAAAAUAAUAAAACAUUAAUGUUUUUUUCAAAUCGAUUGUAACAGUAUUCUUAUAUCUGUCACUUCUCAUCUCCGACCAUGUCACAACAGUAUGUUCUUUGUUCUGGUCGGUAACAACACUAACGAGAUCACUCUACACCUACCAUCACAUAUAAGCAACAUGCCAUCCAACGAUCAUAGAUGUUGUUAGAGUCAUUAUUGUGGUUUCACGGAGCUGAGUGUUGUUUAUGUUACAAAUAAUGAUGUCAUGGAAGCGUUACAUGAUAACAUUUAUUUUAAGAAUGUUUUAAAUAAAUAAAUGUUAAAAUAUUCUUAAACAUAGAAAAAUUCUUCAAUACCAAAGGGUCUCCUAAGUGUUGUAAAGAUGACAUGCAUUCAUGGAUGAUCCUGAACUUGGUAGUGCAAUACUCACUCUAGUCCGACCGAGAGCAGAUGCUGUCCGAUGAGGCGCACAAUCUCCUGGUCUGUUUGGCUCAUGCGGAGCCCCGGCGGCAGGUCUCCGUUGCGGGCGGCGUCACCGUUGAGGUGAGCGCCGUUGGUGCAGGGCUGGUGCAUGGUCGGCUCCGGCGACAGCCUGCGCGUCCGCUUGCGCGGCGGCCGUUGGCCCUCGUCCCCGGAGUCACUGGAGGCCAGGCUGGCCCGCUCCGCUGCGCGUGCUCGCCGCGCUCCUCCGGUCACGAUCCUCGCCUCAUCGGCCUCGUCGUGGCGUGACGUCACGCCCGCUGCUCCUCUCCCGCACUCAAUGGACCAUCUCCCUUUGUUCGAUGCUAAGCUUUUCUCGAUUGUUCCCACUGCACUUCGCGUUUCCACCUAUCUAUAACCGAUGGCGUGAAAAGAAUAUCUUCAAAAAGAGCCCUAUAAAUGUCUAAGAACACGAGUGGUGCCCCGUACUGUGAGCGUACACAAAAA